UUAGCCAAUCCGGGCCUGCUGGUUGCCCACUGAAGCUAAGCAGGAUGGAGCCUAGUCAGUACCUGGAUGAGAGACCUCCCGAGAAAACUAGGUUGCUGCUGAAA
rnacentral:rRNA from 1 species